AUGGAUCAAGACGGUGCCUUUCCAUUGGGCAGCUUCCGCGCGUUUCCCAUUGGCCAAGUCCGAGGUGGGGCCUGAAAACAAGAACUGCCCGAUCGUGGCCCAAAUCAUACGUUUGCGGCACCGAGAUUUUGCCACCCACCCACCCUGGGAUGUGAUAGGAACUAAAGCCAAGCAGACCCAAAAGGGUUCGAUACACAUCGGCCUGGGCAGAAAUAUACACCCCUCGCCCAUCACGGUCAACCGGUUUCUCCCGGAAUUGAAGAGGAGGGGGAAAGGGCCGGACUUUCCAACGAACUGGAUACGGAGAAAGGACGCGUGAUGCUGCGGCUGUUCCUGUCGCCGCCUUAAUCUCCGCCUUAGUCCUGGUCCUGCGGCAGCGCACAAUUAACGGACUGGCCCCAGAGGUAUAGACGACGGCGUGCGCCGGCCUUGUCACCCGUCCCCAAACAACCUGCGGUGCUUAUCCCAGUAAAUUGAAGCCCAUUCAGAAGUGCUUUCAAGAUGGCUGCUUUUAGGUCCGGGUGGAGGGAAACGUAAUUGCAAUGCUAGAGGCUAUGGCCUCUUAUAAAGCUUGGGCUGAGUUGGCUCUAAGCUUGCCGCUGCCGCGCCGGUUCCUGCUCCCUGUCACUGGGUGAAUGGGAUUAUUUAUUUAUUUCCCGUGACGUGAUCCGCAACGUGAGGGGGAGAAGGCGGCGGCUGAGCGGCCUUUUGUGCAGCCGGUCUGAGGCUGCCUUCAACCGGAGGUCGAGGAGGAGGAGCGGGAAGCAGCUCGCGGUCACCCGACCUGUCCUCGCCUGCUUUUGUUGUUGCGGCUGCUGUUGCUCCCGCUGCGAAGGAUUGGUGUCAAGGGCAGUCAGGAACACGAGUAGCAUCCCCCGCCUAGGCGAAGUAGGGCGGAGGUUGCCUGCGGAGGGAGGCGGAGGCGCCUGCUGCUGAGCUCCCGUCUCUAAGCCGGCAGCUCUUCCUUCUCGUUGGGCGGCCAAAGAAAAGGUGAAAAACACGACGGAGUCUGGCAGGAUGCGGCGAAGGAAUUGCGAAGGGACUCAGGAGAGCCCUGCGAGAGUCCCGUUGACAGGGCGGCUGUAACCCGAUUGCGCUAAUACAGUUCGAGGUGCCGCUUUGCUUAACGCCUUUUCCUUUAUUAGGAGGGUGAAGCUGCUGCAAAGGCAGAGGAGCCACCUGUCCCGUUGUUACAGCGAGCGCCUCCGCUCGCUUUUGCGCUCGAUCGGUCUACUUCGGAGCAAAGACAGCACCACCCUACUUUUCUCGCGUAUCCGCGUUUUCCUCCGAUGGUCUGGAUGGGCCCUGAGAUCCCGGAGAGCAGUUCUCCGCAUCUCCCUGCUCAGAGUCAGGAUAAAUAGGAGUGCUUUUCACUUGUUCAACUGCAUCUUAGGUUGUAAAGCGAAGUAAAAUUCAUGAGCCGCUCUUCGCGGCUUGCGGGAGGGUACCGGUUUCACUUGAGAGGCAGCAAAAGGGCAGACUUAUUGGCAAACUUAUGUUAAAACUGCAACUGUAAAUUACUCGUACUCUUUCCCCUGAUUUAUAGCAAUGUUUGGGGCUAAAUUCUGGCCUCAUCGCGAGCCGCCUCUUGCAGGAUUCCUCUUCCAAGUGAUUAGGGAGAGUUUCUUGCUUUUCAUCCUCUAUCUCCCAUAGGGUCUGCAGGAGAGAAAAGGAAAACUGAAGCUGCUGUCAAUACUUGAUCUUUCCUCCCAAGUUAGAAAGGGCCAUUUCAGAUCAGGGGAAGAAUUAAAUAUCUUUUUAGAGGAUGCUUAGUAGAAAAUAUUUCUACAGUUCUGCCAUCAGUUCUAGUCCCCAAUCCCUUCAAAGCUGUUUUAAACUGAUUAGCUGUUGCCUUCAUUGCCAACAAUCCUAGGAUACAGCAGGGUUGCCUUUUUAGUUUAUUUUGUGCAACAGCUUUGAGAGAUUGGGGUACAGAAAUGCUUUUCACUUUUUCCAACUGCAUCCUAGGUUAUAAAGGGAUGUAAAAUGUUUUACAGUGCUUGCACCCCAAUCCACCUCCUUAUUUCGGUUUAAGUUUAUUUGUCUGACAAUCUGUGCCAGUUUCUGGGAGCUGGAAGAGUCAAUCCAGCUCUGCUCUUCGAAAGACUUUUUAGCAUUGCAGCCAAACUUCCAGGAGACAAGAAUUUCCAGAAAUGAAGAAACUGCUUCUGUGCAAGCUCCCCAGAAGGGCAGCAAAUCAAGCAAUUAAACUAGCCUCACGUUGCUUUCAAGUGUAAAGCAGUUGAGCCAAAAAGAAACUGGUUCAGCUGCUGAAGGAUGGAUGUGGGAGUAAUCCUAAUGUGUUACAUCAUAGAAAGCUGUCUUUUGCUCACAGGAAAAAACGGACUUGUCUCCUUACUAUCUUUACUUUGUAUCACAUUUAUUCUCCCCCAUCCACUUUAGAAUUCCCACGGAUUAAAAAACAAUAGAUUCAAAUUUUCUUCUAUUUGCAUCGAGAUCUAAAUAUUACAAGACAUUUUUAGAUAGAUUAACCUCACUGACUGUAUGUAAAGGUUAUUCCAGGCAUGUUUUACAAUUAGCUACAUCUGAUAUAAAAGAAACUCUCCAUCCUA